rnacentral:rRNA from 1 species
CCCUUAGAUGUUCUGGGCAGCACGCGCGCUACAAUGGUCUUCGCAAACGGAUGCAUUCUCGAAGGAGAAUGCCAAUCUUGGAAUCUAUGCCUUGGUCGGGACAGUUGCUUGCAAUUUUUCGACUCGAACCAGGAAUUCCUUGUAAUCGUGAUUCAUCACAUCACGAUGAAUACGUCCCUGCCCUUUGUACACACCGCCCGUCGCUCCUACCGAUUGAGCAAUCCGGUGAAUAUUUCGGACGGAAACUCCUCGGGGCAACUCGUUGGAGUAUCUGAAAGUCAAGUUAACCUUAUUGCUUAGAGGAAGGAGAAGUCGUAACA